rnacentral:rRNA from 1 species
CUACGUGCCAGCAGCCGCGGUAAUACGGAAGGUCCGGGCGUUAUCCGGAUUUAUUGGGUUUAAAGGGAGCGUAGGCCGCCUCUUAAGCGUGUUGUGAAAUGCGGGUGCUCAACAUCCGACUUGCAGCGCGAACUGGGGGGCUUGAGUGCGCCGAAAGUAGGCGGAAUUCGUGGUGUAGCGGUGAAAUGCUUAGAUAUCACGAAGAACUCCGAUUGCGAAGGCAGCUUACUGUAGCGCAACUGACGCUGAUGCUCGAAAGCGUGGGUAUCGAACAGGAUUAGAUACCCUGGUAGUCCACGCGGUAAACGAUGGAUGCCCGCUGUUAGCGCCUGGCGUUAGCGGCUAAGCGAAAGCAUUAAGCAUCCCACCUGGGGAGUACGCCGGCAACGGUGAAACUCAAAGGAAUUGACGGGGGCCCGCACAAGCGGAGGAACAUGUGGUUUAAUUCGAUGAUACGCGAGGAACCUUACCCGGGCUUGAAUUGCAGAGGAAUUAUUUAGAGAUA